GUUUUGCUGUGUUGGUCAGGCUGGUCUUGAACUCCUGACCUCAGGUGAUCCGACUGCCUCUGACUUUCUUUUUGGGAGAAGUUGGUGAUGGUUCAGCAGACAAAUAAUUGCCAAAUUACAUAGGAGGAAAAUGCUGCCAGAAAGGGCACACAAUUUAGCGGAGUCAGUCCAGCAGCAGGUGCCUUUGGAGGCUCCCCUGGUGUCCCAUGUGUCUGAGGUUGCUUCCCUUCCAUUAGCGCCAUGCCGCUCGACUCCCAUCAUCGGGGCGGUUGCAGAAGACAGGUGGUCAUUUAUAUUUUAUUGUCAGGGGCCUUGUCUUUGCCUACUGAAGAUAUAUUUGCAGCCCCUGGAAUGACACUUGGGAUCAUUCAAGGUAACCACCGGAACCGCUCGCAUGCGACCUCCUGGAAAGGUUGAGCCACGCUGUCUUCCUCGGUGCCCUCACCACGGUCCUGGAAAGGUUGAGCCACGCUGUCUUCCUCGGUGCCCUCACCACCGUCCUGGAAAGGUUGAGCCACGCUGUCUUCCUCGGUGCCCUCACCACGGUCCUGGAAAGGUUGAGCCACGCUGUCUUCCUCGGUGCCCUCACCACGGUCCUGGAAACGUUAAGCCACGCUGUCUUCCUCGGUGCCCUCACCACCGUUCUCUGUAAAGAAUACGGUGCAUGGUGGUUCCUCUAGCGUGAGUGCCGUAGUGAUUUCUACAGUGCAUGGUGCUUCCUCUAGCGUGAGUGCCGUAGUGACUUCUAUUCCUGUCACGACAUAAAAUGCAGCCAUAGGUGCAGCUUCGUGUGGAAAAGACUAGGAACACGAGGCAAAUCCCUGGUCGACCUUAGGAAGUGGGUGAGGGGAGAAGCCUGGGGGCCCACAGAACUCUGCACAAACUGCGUAUCUGUGAGCCAAACCAUUGUUAUUUUAAGUCAUUAAGUUUGGGGUGACUUGUUUAAUCCAGAUGAACCUGCAGGCUGCCCAGGUUAUCUAUGAGUGGUGGGUGGUGGCAAAGAGCAGCCAUUCCAAGCAGAGGAAGAAGACUGGCUCAUAGGACCGCACUCCACAGCCCCCCAGGCCACCAUGUGCAACGAGUUAGUUGGUACUGCAUCUGGGAAAAAGCCUGAAGGUGAGAAACAGCAGCGAGCGCAGGAACAUGGAAACAGGGAGAAGGUGCCACUGUGGUGACCCCAGAGGAAGGAGGCCAUCUGAAGGCAGGCACGGUGGAGAAACAGGAUGGGCAGUUCUGGGUGCAGGAGCAGCAGGACUCGGUGGAGGAUGGACAGAAGGAGGAGUCUAGGCCAAGGGCCUCACCCCUGGCUGAAGAAUCGCUGGGGCUCAGGAGCCACAGAUGCUCGGAUCCCGCCUCCAGGGUUCCCAAUCUCAUGGGACACUGGUAGUCAAACCACCCCGGAUGGCUCUGAUGCGCAGCCAAGGCUGUGCGUGACUCUGGGGCCAGGGCUAGUGGCUGUCACUAAGGGCCACCCAGCAGGAGCGGUCUGAGGGUAGGUGAAGAGGUUCCCUUAGGAUUUGGGGAGAUGGAAGUUAGGCCCGGCCUCGUCCUGGAGCCCCGUGGGUGGAAGGGAGGCCUCGUCUGGGUGAUGGAGAGGACAGCCUGCAGAGAGACCGGCGGGGGUGUGCACCAGGGCAUACUGAGCCUGGCCAUUGUGGUACAAGGCCUGGGUACUACCAGCCUCGUGCCUGCUGGGGGUCCGGGAAUGUUUGGGGAGCACUGUGUUGAGGGUGAGCCUGGGUGCCCCUCCAGUCACACCUGAGGAGGUGAAGAAUGUCAGGACUGGGCUGUCACUCGCGUGGAGUAUCCAUGUCCUAGAGCUGCCAUGUGUCACACACUGAGGGCUUAUAGGCCUGAGAGUUCUGGAAUUGGGGUGUGGGCAGGGCUGGUUCGCUCUGGAAGCUUCGAGGGAGAAUCUGCCCCAUGCUUCCCCUUCCCGCCUCCAUGUGUUACCAGUCAUCCUCGGCAUUCCUGACUCAUGGCAGCCUCACUCCAGUCUUUGCCUCUGUCGCUACGUAGCCUUCUCCCAUUGUGUGGCUGUGUCCACGUUUUCCUCUUCUGUGAGGACACCCAUCGUUGGAUCAGGGCCCCCCUACUCCAGUGUGGCCUCCUCUGAACUGCAUCUUCAGGUGCCCUGUUUUCCUCUUCUGUGAGGACACCCGUCAUUGGAUCAGGGCCCCCCCUACUCCAGUGUGGCCUCCUCUGAACUGCAUCUCCAGAUGCCGUUUUCCAGGGAGGCCACGUUCACAGGAACCACCAGGACCGGGGCUUGAGGGACACGGAUCCACUCGCUGUGGACAGGCCCUCGUGGAGCAGGGCUGAUGCGUUGCCGUUGCCGGGGAGCCGCUGCCGGCACCCGUGCUCUCUCUGUGGUGAACUGGCCCUCCUCUCCCGCUCAGCAGUUUAACAGGCCAGUGCAAGCUGCUCAGUUCCCGGGCAGCGGUGCCGGGCGGUCAUGCCGCUCUAAGCCAGGCAGGUUUGUCCACAGGAGGCCACUUGUGGUUCAGCAAACACAGAAUUAGAAAACCAGAAUCCCUGUUGCACGUCUCUGCAGAUGGAGCUGUUCAGCUCAGUAUGGUUAAUGUCAGGGAGGAUUAACUGGUUCAGUCUGAUCCAUUUACCUGAUGGUAUUUUAUUUUAAGUACAGAGGUGGUAGUACAUUUUCAGAAAACAUUAUUCCUUUUCUUACUGCUGCGAAUGCACUGUCAUUAAACGUGGCUUUAAGGCCAAGCUGGGCCUGGCCCUGCCCAGCCGUGCUCAGCACUGCCCCCUCGUCCUCCUCAGGGCCUGGCAGGGCUCUGUGGUGACUGUCGCCAUCACCGUAACGCAGGACCAGAUGAUUUGGAAGGAAUCCUAGGGGCAUCUGGGUAUUCAUAAACGCUGAGAUUGUCCCUCUAAGUGUCUCCUGUCUACCAUCUUACUCAGGAUCGCUGGCCCAUUACGGUGUCAGGAAUGUGCUGCUUUUAAUUAAAUUUCACGAAGAAUAAAUGUUAACUCUCCAA